rnacentral:rRNA from 1 species
UCUACGGGAGGCAGCAGUGAGGAAUAUUGGUCAAUGGGCGAGAGCCUGAACCAGCCAAGUCGCGUGAAGGAUGACUGCCCUAUGGGUUGUAAACUUCUUUUAUAUGGGAAUAAAGUGAGGAACGUGUUCCUUUUUGUAUGUACUAUAUGAAUAAGCAUCGGCUAACUCCGUGCCAGCAGCCGCGGUAAUACGGAGGAUCCGAGCGUUAUCCGGAUUUAUUGGGUUUAAAGGGUGCGUAGGUGGUUUGUUAAGUCAGCGGUGAAAGUUUGUGGCUCAACCAUAAAAUUGCCGUUGAGACUGGUUGACUUGAGUACAGUUGAGGUAGGCGGAAUGCGUGGUGUAGCGGUGAAAUGCAUAGAUAUCACGAAGAACUCCGAUUGCGAAGGCAGCUUACUAAACUGGAACUGACACUGAAGCUCGAAAGUGUGGGGAUCAAACAGGAUUAGAUACCCCUGUAGUC